UAGAGUUUGAUCAUGGCUCAGGACAAACGCUGGCGGCGUGCCUAACACAUGCAAGUCGAGCGGGGCCGAGAAGCGGCUUGCCGCGGAUCGGCCUAGCGGCGGACGGGUGAGUAACGCGUGGGCAACCUGCCUCGAGGUAUGGGAUAACAGCUCGAAAGGGCUGCUAAUACCGUAUAUGGUCGUCAGGCCGCAUGGCAUGGCGACCAAAGGGGAGACUCGCCUCGAGAUGGGCCCGCGUCCCAUUAGCUAGUUGGCGAGGUAACGGCUCACCAAGGCGACGAUGGGUAGCCGGCCUGAGAGGGUGGCUGGCCACACUGGAACUGAGACACGGUCCAGACUCCUACGGGGGGCAGCAGUGGGGGAUCUUCCACAAUGGGCGAAAGCCUGAUGGAGCGACGCCGCGUGAGCGAAGAAGGCCUUCGGGUUGUAAAGCUCUGUCUAGAGGGACGAAGGACGUGACGGUACCUCUGGAGGAAGCCACGGCUAACUAUCGUGCCAGCCGCCGCGGUAAUACA
rnacentral:rRNA from 1 species